UACGAAGGUGGCAAGCGUUGUUCGGAUUCACUGGGCGUACAGGGUGUGUAGGCGGUUUGGUAAGCCUUUUGUGAAAGCUUCGGGCCUAACCCGGAAAGCGCAGAGGGGACUGCCAGGCUAGAGGACGGGAGAGGAGCGCGGAAUUCCCGGUGUAGCGGUGAAAUGCGUAGAGAUCGGGAGGAAGGCCGGUGGCGAAGGCGGCGCUCUGGAACGUAUCUGACGCUGAGACACGAAAGCGUGGGGAGCAAACAGGAUUAGAUACCCUGGUAGUCCACGCCCUAAACUAUGGACACUAAGUGUCGGCGGGUUACCGCCGGUGCCGCAGCUAACGCAUUAAGUGUCCCGCCUGGGAAGUACGGCCGCAAGGUUGAA
rnacentral:rRNA from 1 species